rnacentral:lncRNA from 1 species
UUUCUCUUUCUGUUUUUAAUUUUAGCAACAACGACUACAAUGGCCAGCUUCACUGACACUCCUGCAAUUCCAAUGUAAUUUUUUAGUAUGAAUUCCUUUAUGAAGUUAACUUUCAAAAUUGUAACCCUUAACAAUAUUCAUCACAAGUGGUGCUCUUUACAGAUCUGGAUUAGCGGUGGUCACAAGCAGGCUGUUGUUCAACUCCUCAUCUCUAGUCCCCGGUGAAGCUCUGGUCCUCACUGCUGUCAACACUCUUCUUAACUCAAGAAUACCACAGCUCAAUCAAUCAGCGAAAAUUGUGAACAUCACCUAUGAGAGUAAGCUUAAUUUUCUUACUUAAACAUAUUUUGUCUCAUAAAAGUUUCAAGUACUGGUUAAUUUAAGGUAUUAAUGGAAAUGACUGGUGGUUUCUUUGCCAACAGAACUCUCAGACACCUCAUAUGCCAUCAUCUUUACAUUAAAUUUGACCGAUAUCAGUAUCCCUGAAGACCCUGUACUGAAAAUCAAGAGCUACAAACAAGUAGAGGAUAGCGUCAAUAAUGCACUGAAUACUCUUCUGAAUGAACCUACUAGUGCACCUUUACAACCCAAAUCAGCAAACUUCACGUAAGGAACAUCCUGACUUCACAACCUUUUAGUAGUCUUUGUUCAUUUUUGGAUUUUAAAGCAGCCCAACAGAUAAAGGAAUAAAUACAUUUAUAAUGUACUCAUUUUUGCGAUUUUCAAUGUAGUCUUGAAAAAUGUCUUCUGUUUUUUUGACUACAGGAGCACAUCCAACCAGAUUGAAGGCAUUAUGGGAUACGCUUUCAAGGAGGAAGAUGUUAUCCAACCAGUCAGCUUCCUAAAUGAACUUCGUUUACUGACAGUAGUGACAACUACACCAGCCAGUACUACGGUGACUUCAGCAAUCCCAAUAUCUGGAUUAGCGGUGGUCACAAGCAGGCUGUUGUUCAACUCCUCAUCUCCAGUCCCCAGUGAAGCUCUGGUCCUCACUGCUGUCGACAAUCUUCUUAACUCAAGAACACCACAGCUCAAUCAAUCAGUGAAAAUUGUGAAUGUCACCUACGAGAAACUCUCAGACACCUCAUAUGCCAUCGUCUUUACAUUCGAUCUGCCCAAUAUCAGCAUUCCCGAAGACCCUGUACUAAAAAACAAGAGCUACAACCAAGUGGAGAGUAAUGUCAACAAUGCACUGAAUACUCUUCUGAAUGAACCUACCAGUGCACCUUUACAACCCAAAUCAGCAAACUUCACGAGUACAUCUAACCAGAUUGAGGGUGUUAUGGGAUACGCAUUCCAGGAUGAAGAUGUCAUCCAACCAGUCAGCUUCCUAAAUGAGCUACGAUCACAGACAGUACCAACAACUACAAUGGCCAGUUCCACUGUGACUCCUGCUAUCCCAAUAUCUGGUUCAGCGGUGGUCACAAGCAGGCUGUUGUUCGACUCCUCAUCUCCAGUCCCCAGUAAAGCUCUGGUCCUCACUGCUGUCGACACUCUUCUCACAUCCAGACAGUCACAGCUCAAUGAAUCAGUGAAGGUGGUGAAUUUCACAUAUGAGCAAAUUUCAGAAAGCUCAUAUGCCGUCACCUUUAAAUUUAAUAUAACUCAACUCAGCAUGCCAAGUGACUCUGGGCUUAGAAACAACACAUACCUGCAAGUAGAGGAUACUAUAAGCAAAGCACUGAACACUCUUGUGAACGAACCUAAGAAUCCAACUUUAAAGCCCAAGUCAUCUAACUUCAAGAGUGCAUUAAAUCGUAUUGAGGGAAAUAUGGAGUAUGCAUUCCAAAAAGAUGACGUCCUACAACCAAUCAGCUUCCUACAUCAGCUUAGUUUAUUGACAGUCACAACAACAACCAGCAGUCUGACAACAACAACAACAACUACAACAACAACAACAACGUCUCCACCAACUUUGAUGGGAGUGGUUACUAUAUUUAUUAAGCUUCAGUUCAUCACUCUGGGCCCAAUACCGAGUGAAAACAGCAUCAUACCACUGGUCAAUUCUUUGGUCACUUCUCGUUUGCAAACUAAGGAUGUCACCACACAAAACAUGCAAGCGAGCUAUGUGAAUGUCACCUAUAACAGGAUUAGUGAUUUCUCCUAUGUACUCAUAUUUGAAUUCAAAAUCAGCAAUGUGCCCAUGCGUGAGACAUUUGAACUGAGGAAUGAAACCUACGUUCAAAUCCAAACCUCUAUAAACAAUUUGCUGCCCAAAGUCCUGAAUGACCCCACACCUCCUCAAAUUGAAUUAAAUCAAGUGGUGUUCAACAAUACUAAUAAUGAGAUUCAGGCCAAUGUUCAGUUUGUUUUCUCACAAAGUAAUGUAAACACAACCAGUACCUUGGUCCAAGAAAUUCUGAAAGUUAAUGGAGUUAUUACCACAUCUGCACCUGCUUUAACGACAGCCAGCACAUUGUUGAUAACCUCUCCUCCAACCUUGCUUGGGAAGGUGGUUAUCUACAUCAGCCUUAUAUUUAAAACAAAAGGCCCUCUGCCAAGUCAGAGCAACGUCCUUCAGAUGGCAAAUUCCCUGUUGUUGAGAUUUAAAAUGAAAUCUAAAAGAUCCAUCACAGAAAAAGAGCUGCAAGACCUUGUGAAUGGUGUCAAUGUCACUUAUACAAAACUUGAUGAUACCUCAUUCUCUCUGAACUUUGGAUUUGAAAUCAGCAACGUAACCAUGUCUGAGAAAGUUGAACUCAGGAAUGACACCUAUGUCGUGAUCCAGACCUACAUAAACAGCUUUGUGUCCAAGAUCCUCAAUAAAACAACAACUGUUGACUUUAACUUCAACCAAAUUGCUUUCUUGAGCAAUUCCUCCAUCAUUGAAGCCAAUGUCACGUACGUGUUCUCAGACAGUGAUGUUGGUGCUUUUGGCUUGGUCGCCUCUAUACUCGGAGCUUCCACCACACCUGCUCCAGCCACCACUUACCCUACAGUUCUGAACACUACGAUUUCAGGCAACAGCACAAAUGCAGCAUGGGUUGUGGCUAUCAUUGUACCCUGCGCGAUUGUCAUCAUGCUUGUACCUUGCUGGAUUCUCCUUUGUUGUUUGCUGUGUGGUUGCUGUGCAGCAAUCAGAAGACGUUGGCACAGGAGACAGUCUUACAAUGUACAGUACUCCACUCGAAACAGCCUCUUCUAGAGAAAUUCAAGAGCAAAGCCUGGAUGUCUAUAAUAUGUAAACUAUUAUUUAAGGAAAUAUUUAUUUAUUUGAAAAUGAUGCUAAUGUAAUGAUGAACUUGAAUUUACGUAAUGUUUGGGACAAAUGUAGAAUGUGUUGAUCACUUCUUUCUUCACACUUCAUGUAUUUUAUCCUCAUAAUAUAUUUAAUUGCCCCCUUUUUCCACAAAUCCACAUGAAUGUGAAUGUAUUGUCUGUAUUGUUGAAAUGGUAUUUUAUUAAAAGCAGUUUAUACAAAUAUGAUUUUGUAUUGAAAGUUGUUGACACAUACAGACACACAUUUAGACUCUGCAAAAGACAAAAAGAAAACAAUUUAUGAAGUAUUUUCAACAUUGUACUUAUCUCCCUUUAUUAGGCCCAUGGUGUCAGACAUUUUGUAAUGAUGUUUGUGAGCAGUUAAAUAAAGAUAUAAAGCUAGAAUCUUCCAUUUCAAUCUAUUGUCAUAAAAAGCUUUGUUUUUUUUUAAUAAGUAUUAAAAAUUAAAAUCCUGUGGCAAUGACAUUUAUACAUUUAGCUAGGUUUAUUUAUCCAUUCAUCCAUGCAUCCUUGCAUUUAUUCACUCAUUCAUUUAUUUUGGCUUAGUCCCUUAUUUAUCACAGCGGAACAAACCACCAUCUUUUCAGGCAUAUGUUUUAUGCAGCUGAUCCUCGUCCUGAUGCAACCCAGUACUGGGAAACACCCACACACUCUCACAUUCACACACACACUCAUACACUACGACCAAUUUAGUUCAUCCAAUUUACUUACAGUGCAUGUCUGUGGACUGUGGGGGAAACCAGAGCACCUGGAGGAAGCCCACACAUGGGGAAAACAUGCAAACUUAACAUAAAAAAUUCCAAUUAGGACUCAAACCAGUGACCU